CUUGUGCCACGGUGGCCCAAAUGUCAGUCAACCAGACAUGUCUUCUGAGAGGUAAGUUUUUGAAAAAUACUAGACUUUUCUCAAAUGUAUUUCUUUACAGGAAUAAAAAGAAAGCUAAUUUUGCAUGAGCAUGCAGGAAGUCUGCAGACAGACAUUCUACAUAGUCCCUUGGGGACUCAGUAGAAGUGGAAUCAAGACCAACCCAAGCCCAACAAGGCAGCUCCGCUGGUUAAUGCCUCCCAGAUCUGUCAUCUGUGAUAAAGAGCCUCGCUGUAGCUGAGGAGCUGGCCAAGAACCUUUCCCAGUUAGCCAAGUUCGUGAAGAAGUCACAUGUGGUGAAUAUAUUAUCAUCAGAAUGCGGAGCAAUGAAAUGUAAACAGAUAGGAAUCGUCACUAAAGCUCCAACUGCAGCCUCCGGGUGCCAUAGCUUUUGCACCAUCCAUUUGCACCAUCUCUGCAGUAAGUCCUAGCUCAAGCCUUACUCCAAAGUACAAAUUAGCAUAGCAGCUCAGUCAACAAUGCCUCCGAGCUUCUGGAAAGAAAGAUGCUCAGUCACCAUAGACCCAGAAUUAAUGAAAAGUCACAGAAAUAAUAGCUCCAUUCUCUACUUGCUUCUGAACCUCAAAUCAGUGGUUGGCAACAAGGAUGUCUGCAUCAUCUGUAUUGACCUGCUCCCCAGAUUAAUACCGAAGCACUGCAAUUUCUUGAGGAUUAUCCACCUAGGAGGAAAUGAUACGCUGGCCCAUCCAUAGUAGUCAAGAAACAGUCUGAGAUCCAAAAAGUGGCUUAAAAGAGGGAAAAGUUAAUCAAAAUGUCUGUGAAGCUCUGGCUUCAGUCUCUCCAGCGAGGCUUUCUGAAGCACAGCUCUGAUAGAACUAAACCCAAUGAGACACCGCCUACAAGAGGAAUCCAGCGUGUGAACGAAGACUAAAAAGCAAAACAGCAGCGUCUGGAGUGGACAGCUUCUCUCACUCAGAGAACUGUAGCCUCAAAUUCCUGGCAGAGGUUUCUUGGAAGAGAAGAAUGAGAUUGGAUCUGAGAAAAUGUGGCUGGUAAUGAACUCUACGAAGGGAUUUUUAUACUCUCUCUUUGGCAGUCCAUCCUGUGAAAUAAUAAUGAGGUUGGAGGAUGGCUGCUAACCAUCCCUUGCUUUUCCGUGCCAGGGAACCACCAUCUCAGAUGGUAGAAACCACUCAGAAGGAUCAACUGCUGCAGACGGGAAGAGGAGCAACCUCGUGAAUAAUUUCGUGACAGGAUAUUGCAGGAGGGACUUUGUCCAAAUGUGUGCAGGGUAGUUGGCUACAGCAACAAGGAUGACGAACACAGAUGAAUUGAUCAGGAUGUAACCAUUCAAAGUUGAGAGGAUUAGAGGACUUCUCCGAGGCGGCUCCAAUGGAUGCCAGCAGAGUUAAAGUGUCCAAUGGAGAGAAGAGAAGGCUUGGGAAAUCCAGAGUCCAUUCAUUCAUCGCCCUCCUCCUAGAACAACAAAAGCGAGCCCCAGUACUCAUCAGCAUGGACUCUGUGUGUAGUCAUCUCCCUUAGUUUCAGAGGUUCCUGCCUACAGCAAAACUUUAGAGGCUUAGAGUUUAACGGUCAUAGCUUAUUCACCUCCAACUGUGUCCUAGUUCAAGAGAAACACUUCACAUAUCUGUAGGGAGAAGAUAAUGAACCAAGGAUACAAGUUAAGCCUUAGCUAAGACCUGUUACUCAGGAAAAAGAGCUAAAACAAGCUGCUUAGAUCAGCACCAAUGUUAGGUAGAGAGAAAAAGAAACGCUGCAUAGAAAUCUUAAGGUUCACAUGUGCUCCAGGCUGGGUCAACAACUUCUAAUUUCCUUUGCCAACCAACCAUGUCUUUGACAGAAAUGAUCCUUCUACAUAGACCACAGAGGGAUCCAAUGGAGGUUUCUCUUCCUGAAUUUGGGGAUUCAGAAUCUGGACAAAUUCCUUUCCAUCAAAGUCCAGUACAAAAGUAGUACCAUGGCAGUCCCUGCAGGGACUUGCAUCACUUUCCCUAGAGAUAUCAAGAGAAUUUUUAGUGAUAAGAAUAUGGCACAAAAUGAGAAAUCCCAUUACUCUUAAGAGAAUCUCUUCCUUCUCAAAGGCACCUGAUUAAUACAUAUAGUACUAUCAGUAAGGCUGAGCAAAAGGAUACUGAUGUUCUGAGUGAUCUUAAAUCAUGUAAUAAUAACUUUAUUCGUAGUAUAGAACGGAAUAUUCCCUAUUAGUAAUCAGUUCCUUUGCCAGAUCCUCAUAGUAUCUUAGUCACUGUUUUAUUGUUAUGAAGAGAAACUUUGACCACAGCACCUCUUAGAAAAAAGGAAGCAUUUAAUCGGGACUUCCUUAUGGUUUCACAGUUUUACAUAAUUGUCAACAUGGCAGAGAACAUGGGGGCACGCAAACAGACAUGGUGCUGGAGAAGUAGCGGAGAAUAUACAGCAACAUAUAGAUACAAAAUAUAGAUACAUAUAGAUACAGAAUAUAGAUACAUAUAGCUACAUAUAGAUCUGCAGGCAGCAGGAAGAGACUGGGACAAGGCCAUACCUUCUAAGGCUUCUCAAGGAGUGUCACUUCCUGAUGACCAAGCAUUCAAGUGUAUGAGCUUAUGGGAGCCAUUCUUAUUCAAGCCACCACACAUAGCAAAGCUGAUAAUGUCAUUUUCUGAAUUAACCAGGCCAAGGCACACUUCUUAGCAACAUGGUUACCUGGUAACCAGAGAUUUUUCUCAUCCCAUGAGAGAUUUCAUUCAAGAACUGAUCUUCUAACAGUUUUGUCUCUCUUAAGAAUGCUACAGACAGGGUGGGGUGAGGCACAGUGCUGAAGCCCCUCAAGUUUCCCAGAGGGAUGAGUCCAUGAAAGACGAAAAUCAUGUGGUCACACUGAGCAUAGACUUCACAAGCAUCAUGCUAGGAUUCCAUUUUCUUUCUCAACACAAUGAUAAAUUCUUCUUCCAAUAAGCAGAAAAUCAUCCAAUGGGAAAAAAAAAUAAAACCAACUAACUUGCAGUCCUUUGGAACAGUUUCAUAGCUUACAGGAUGGCUUCAUAACCCUGGGGACACUCGUUUUGACAUGAAAACUUCCUUCAGAACAGGAAUUCUGAUCCAACAUGUGCUCAGACAUCAUUUCAGUCACUUGCAAAUGAACAAGAAAGCUCAUGUAAAUGAGGAGGCUCAACUCCCAGGCCUGGUGAGUGGGUAAGACAUUCCUCUGCUGGGUUUUGAAGGCUGUCUGAAACCAUCGGCUGACAUCCUUCUCUGUGUGCAUGUAUGCACUAUCUACGGGAAAUUCAGCUCCAACCGGUUGUCUCUACAGCUCCCUUAAUCUUCUCCUCCCUCCUCCUGGCAUUGGCAUGUGUCCCAGGACUGCAGCGAGGAGUGCUUACCAACAAAGGUGCUGGCAUCUGCAUUUGUUUCACAGCCACAAACCUAAUGGUUCCAUGAUUUUGGCGAGCAAAACUGUCAAAAUGCCUGAGCACAAGAGAUCACAAGAUGAGCCAAGGCAUAGUGUGCAUGCCUUCCUUCCCAGCACUCGGAAGGCAGAGGCAAGGGGAUCUCUGUGGGUUCAAGGCCAGCCUGAAUCACAAGGUGUACUGGGGAUUCUUUUUUAUUGUUUUCCUUUUGCUAUCUGGAAUAGUUUGAGAUUGUAUUUGAUCAGUGCAUUAAACAAC
rnacentral:lncRNA from 1 species